AUAUUAAUAUACAUUAGUAAUGUGAAUGAUAUAGAAUUAAUAUUUCUAUACUAUAUUAAUAGUAUAGGUAAGUAUAUAAAGAGACUAUUAGGGAUACCUAGCUACAUAUUAAAGAGAUUAAUUUGUGUAUUAAGAGGUUUUACACAUGAACUCUUAGAGAAAUUCAGUAAUAAACGAGGUGAAUUGAAAUAUCUUAGUAACCUUAGGAAAAGAAAUCAAACGAGAUUCUACGAUUAGUGUGAAUGAAAGUAGAGGAGCCUAUUAAUAUAUCAGAAUAGUAAGUAAUAAUUAAUAAUAAUAAUAUAAUUACUAGAGUUAAAUUUUAAUUCGCUGGUAUAAUGAAUAAGUAAAAUGGAUACAAAUCUGUUUGAAAAAAGGGGAACCUUCCUCUAAGGCUAAAUAUAAUAUGUAAGCGACAGCGCAUAGUACUGUGAAGGAAAGGAUUGAAAUAGUAGUUUUAUAAGCAGCUCGAGUAAAAUUAAAAUACAAGAGCGUACCUUUUGCAUAAUGGGUCAGCAAGUUAAUGUUAGAUGCGAGCAUAUGUUUAAAUUAUAUGCCUAGAUAAACCAAUUAUGAAAUAAUGAGUUAGUAUCUAAAAUUAGACCCGAAGCCUAGUGAUCUUACCAUAGUCAGGGUUAUAAAAGCCCGAACGGGUUAUCGUUGUAAAGAUAUCCGAUGAACUGUGGUAAGUUAGUGAAAGACAAUACUGACUAGGAUAGCUGGUUUUCUGCGAAACCUAUAUAAGUAGGUAAUUCAAAGUACAUCAUAGCAGGUACAGAACUGUGAUCUCAGGCAACUCUUUUAACAAUGUUAAAAGUUUUGCAUAUAUCGGGGAAUCGUGAAGAUUUUAUCGGUGAGUAUUUGCACUCGGAAGGGCAAUGAUGAAUAUUGAAUAAUCGGACAUAGUACGAUAAGGUUGUAUGUCUAAAGGGAAACAGCCCAGAACAAGAGUUAAGGUUCCAAAAUUAUUAUUAAGUGAAAUUAAGGAAGUUCCUAUCAAAUACAACUAGGAAAUAGGCUUAGAAGCUGCCAUUUUUUGAAGAUCUCGUAACAGAGCACUGGUUCAGUAAAAUAUUUUUACACGCGAAAGCGUAUGAUAGUUGCACCGAAAAUUUAACGGAUCUAAAUAAUAUACCGAUACCUUGUCCAUAUAUAAAUAAUAGUUUAUUAUUUAUUAUGGGGUAGCAGAACGUUGGGUAAAUCUUAGAUGUACUCUUUUUAAGAGUAAUUAUUAGAUAACCCAAGUGAGAAUGCUGACAUGAGUAACGAAAAAGGGAAAAUACCCUCGCCUAAAGCUUAUGGAUUUUUAUUAAGUAACGGCCUCUAAGUUUACCAACCUAAAGGAUUAAACGAUGAGCAAAUCUUGUCUACAAAGUGACAACCUUUUUAAAAAAUAAAGAAAAGUGAAAAAGGUUCUGGAAAAACAGUAGACAAAAAACCGUACCUAGAAACUACCACAAGUAAGCAAGUAGAGAAUACGAAGGCGUUUGAGCGAACAAUCAUUAAGGAACUCGGCAAACUAACUACCGUAACUUCGGGAUAAGGAGAGCCAUUCCUCCUGAUUAAUAUCAGGUAAAGAAUAGGAAGCAUAGAAUAGUGUUGUACGACUGUUUAAUUAAAACAAAGCACUCUGCAUUAAGAUAAUAAAUCAAAGUAUUGAGUGUGAUUUCUGCCCGAUGUCGGCUGGUUAACGGAUUUGCUAAGUUGACUAAUAUAAGCUUGGCUUUGAAGGAAACCCCGAUCAAUGGCGGCCUUACCUAUGAGGGUCCUAAGGUAGCGGAAUACCCUGGCCGUUAAAUGCGGUCUUGCAUGAAUGAUUUAACGAUACAACAGCUGUCUCAAUGAUUGGCUCAGUGAAAUUGGAAUAACUGUGCAGAUACAGUUUACCUCUAGUUAGACGAGAAGACCCUAUGCAGCUUUACUGUUACUAGUUAUUGAAUAUGAUUUAACAAAUUUUAGUGUAUAAGGUAAUCGAUAGAUAAAAUUGAAACACCUUUAUUUAGUUUGUCAUAUUGGUAAAUAUAUUAUUUACCUUAAUAUAGCUUUUAUAUAGAGUUAUAUUAAGUUACCCUAAAAUAGGGAACAAUUGCUAGGAGGCAGUUUAUGCGGGGCACAGAUCCCAUAAAAAGUACCUGGGUGUAUCCAAAGUUAUUUUUGUAAAAUAAUCAUGAUUUAUUCAUGAUAUUGGUAAUAUCUCUUGAUUUUAUCAAUUUAUUUAGUGUGUUAUUUGGUAUAGCUUUAGCUAGAACUAAUUCAGUUAUAUAUCUAUUAAGUUAGAAUUAUAUUUUUUUAUUUAAGUAAGAUUUUAACUAUAUGGAAAAUAGAUGUAAUUAAAACAUUAUAAAGAUAAUUUUAAUGUUUUUAGCUAUAUUAUUAGUGUAUAAGAACUGAUAAUAUAGUUAUGUGUAUUACUUAUCAAGUUUAAUGGCUUAAUCUUGCUUUACUGUUUGACUUACACGUCUAUCAGUCGCGUAAGCGGGGCAUAUGAUCACAAGACGCAGAAAGGAAAGGUCUUGGAUUUUUGAAAAAGCUACGCUAGGGAUGUUAGUCCUCCAAUGUUUUUUAAUAAAGUUUAUUAAAAAUCUAUUGGUUAUUAAU
rnacentral:rRNA from 1 species